GACGAACGCUGGCGGCGUGCUUAACACAUGCAAGUCGAGCGGUAAGGCCCUUUCGGGGGUACACGAGCGGCGAACGGGUGAGUAACACGUGGGUGACCUGCCCUCAGCUCUGGGAUAAGCCCGGGAAACUGGGUCUAAUACUGGAUAUUACUCUGCGGUGCAUGCCGUGGGGUGGAAAGCCUUGUGCGGCUGGGGAUGGGCCCGCGGCCUAUCAGCUUGUUGGUGGGGUGAUGGCCUACCAAGGCGACGACGGGUAGCCGGCCUGAGAGGGCGACCGGCCACACUGGGACUGAGACACGGCCCAGACUCCUACGGGAGGCAGCAGUGGGGAAUCUUGCGCAAUGGGCGAAAGCCUGACGCAGCGACGCCGCGUGAGGGAUGACGGCCUCGG
rnacentral:rRNA from 1 species